CGGGAAAAGCUCAAAUUUGAAAUCUGGCGGCCUCGCCGUCCGAGUUGUAUUCUGGAGAAGCGUUUUCCGUGCCGGACCGUGUACAAGUCCCUUGGAACAGGGCGUCGUAGAGGGUGAGAAUCCCGUCUUUGACACGGACUCCCGGUGCUAUGUGAUGCGCUCUCGAA
rnacentral:rRNA from 1 species